rnacentral:rRNA from 1 species
GACGAACGCUGGCGGCGUGCUUAACACAUGCAAGUCGAACGGAAAGGCCCCUUUGGGGGUACUCGAGUGGCGAACGGGUGAGUAACACGUGAGUAACCUGCCCUUGACUUCGGGAUAACUUCAGGAAACUGGGGCUAACACCGGAUAGGAAUCCUUGCUGCAUGGUGGGGGUUGGAAAGCUUCGGCGGUUUUGGAUGGACUCGCGGCUUAUCAGCUUGUUGGUGGGGUAGUGGCUUACCAAGGCUUUGACGGGUAGCCGGCCUGAGAGGGCGACCGGCCACAUUGGGACUGAGAUACGGCCCAGACUCCUACGGGAGGCAGCAGUGGGGAAUAUUGCACAAUGGGCGGAAGCCUGAUGCAGCAACGCCGCGUGCGGGAUGACGGCCUUCGGGUUGUAAACCGCUUUCAGCAGGGGCGAAGCUUUUGUGACGGUACCUGCAGAAGAAGCACCGGCUAACUACGUG